rnacentral:rRNA from 1 species
UAAGCGACUCUCGGCAACGGAUAUCUCGGCUCUCGCAUCGAUGAAGAACGUAGCGAAAUGCGAUACUUGGUGUGAAUUGCAGAAUCCCGUGAACCAUCGAGUCUUUGAACGCAAGUUGCGCCCGAAGCCGUCAGGCCGAGGGCACGUCUGCCUGGUCGUCACAC